rnacentral:snRNA from 14 species
GUACUCACUUCUGUAGCACACACAUAUACAAAAAUUGGUACAGACAUUAGCAUGGCCUUUGUGCAAGGAUGACAGGCAAAUUCAUGAAGCUGCCCAUAUUUAA